rnacentral:rRNA from 1 species
AUUGAACGCUGGCGGCAGGCCUAACACAUGCAAGUCGAGCGAGCGGCGGACGGGUGAGUAAUGUCUGGGAAACUGCCUGAUGGAGGGGGAACACUACUGGAAACGGUAGCUAAUACCGCAUACCAUCAUAUGUGCCCAGAUGGGAAUAGCUAGUAGGUGGGGUAAUGGCUCACCUAGGCGACGCUCCCUAGCUGGUCUGAGAGGAUGACCAGCCAACCUGGGAUUGAGACACGGUCCAGACUCCUACGGGAGGCAGCAGUGGGGAAUAUUGCACAAGGGGCGCAAGCCUGAUGCAGCCAUGCCGCGUGUGUGAAGAAGGCCUUCGGGUUGUAAAGCACUUUCAGCGAGGAGGCGUUACUCGCAGAAGAAGCACCGGCUAACUCCGUGCCAGCAGCCGCGGUAAUUC